UGAAUACGAGACGCUACGGCGUCGAAGCAGUCUAUGUCAUACUUCCAAGAAAAGCUUGCACUGUCAUAAACAAAUAAUGCCUGUACCAUAACCGACACAGGUGGGUAGGUAGAGUAUACUAAGGGGCGCGAGAUAACUCUCUCUAAGGAACUCGGCAAAAUGACUCCGUAACUUCGGGAGAAGGAGUGCCUUAUUUAUAAGGUUGCAAUAACAAGAUCCAAGCAACUGUUUAUCAAAAACACAGGUCUCCGCUAAGUCGUAAGACGAUGUAUGGGGGCUGACGCCUGCCCAGUGCCAGAAGGUUAAAGAAGUUGGUUAGCAUUAGCGAAGCUGAUAACUGAAGCCCUGGUGAACGGCGGCCGUAACAAUAACGGUCCUAAGGUAGCGAAAUUCCUUGUCGGGUAAGUUCCGACCCGCACGAAAGGCGUAAUGAUUUGGAUACUGUCUCAGAGAGGCACUCGGUGAAAUAGACUUGUCUGUGAAGAUGCGGACUACCUGCACCAGGACAGAAAGACCCUAUGAAGCUUUACUGUAACUUGAAAUUGAAAUUGGACUUUAUUUGCGCAGUAUAGGUGGGAGGCAUUGAUAAUAUUCUUGCGGGAAUGUUGGAGCCAUCAGUGAGAUACCACUCUUGUAAUGUUGGAUUUCUAACUUUGGAUCAUUAUCUGGUCAAAGGACAGUUUCAGGCGGGCAGUUUGACUGGGGCGGUCGCCUCCUAAAUGGUAACGGAGGCGCACAAAGGUUUCCUCUGAACGGGUAGAAAUCGUAUCUAGAGUGUAAAGGCAUAAGGAAGCUUGACUGUGAGACCUACAAGUCGAGCAGGGACGAAAGUCGGUCUUAGUGAUCUGACGGUGCUGAGUGGAAAGGCCGUCACUCAACGGAUAAAAGUUACUCUAGGAUAACAGGCUGAUCUCCCCCAAGAGUUCACAUCGACGGGGAGGUUUGGCACCUCGAUGUCGGCUCAUCGCAUCCUGGGGCGGUAGUACGUCCCAAGGGUUGGGCUGUUCGCCCAUGAAAGCGGUACGCGAGCUGGGUUCAGAACGUCGUGAGACAGUUCGGUCCAUAUCCGGUGUAGGCGUUAGAAUAUUGAGAGGAGCCUUCUUUAGUACGAGAGGACCGAGAAGGACAUACCUCUGGUGUACCAGUUAUCGUGCCAACGGUAAACGCUGGGUAGCUAUGUAUGGAGAGGAUAACCGCUGAAAGCAUCUAAGUGGGAAGCCCACCUCAAGAUAAGUAUUCCC
rnacentral:rRNA from 1 species